AAAUUAAGGAGUUUAAAAAUAUUUUCUACUUUUGACGAAAAGUCUUUUUCUUACCUUUUCAAAGCUUUUAAAAAUAUGAACAUAAAUGAUUAUGUUUUUGAACAUUCUUGUUUAAAUAAAAUUAAACAAAUAAAUAAUUAUAAUUUUUUGUCCUAUUUAUGUAUGACUUUGUCAGCUUAUUCUAUGGUAAGUAACAGCAAACACAAACCAGAAAUUGUUAAUAUAUUUUUUAAAAGUUUUGAGCAAAUUUUGUCCGGUUUAUGUAGUUAUACGGACGGUAUAAAUAACGUAGCUAUGGACCAAACAGAUAAAACACAUGUCGACGAAACUAAGCACAAUUUUAUAACUUCCAUCAUUUUUUAUUUUACCAAAAUAAAGUAUAUAAAAACGGUAGAGCUAAUAAAAAUGACAAUGAACUAUUUAGCCCAUCAUAAAAAUGAAUUGUCGGUAGAACAUUGUGUAAGUUUGCUAAAUUCACUAGCUAUUUUUUGUGCUAGUUUAAAAACAGAACAAAAAAAUAUGUAUUGGAACAAUUAUUAUGAUCUAGUCAUAUUUUUUGUAAAUAAAAUUCUAUUAAAUAAAGAGUUGUAUACAAAAAAAUGUUUAGUUAUGAAUUUAUUAAGUACUAGUGGUAAAAUUUUUUAUUCUUCUAUAAAUACUAAUAAAAUUAGUAUUAAAAAAAAUAAAAAAAAUUUGUUUUUUUUUAAAAAUGUAUUAAAUAGUUUAUUACCAUAUGUAUAUGAACAUAUGAAUGAAAUAUCUAGUAGUGACUUAGUUAUAUUGUCCUUGGGUUUAAAAAAAGAAAAUUAUUCAAAAGAAGCAAUGGAUUUAGUUUUGAUUGAUCAAUAUGACAAUUUUGUGGACAUGUUUGUCCAGCGAUGUCGAUUUGUUUGGGGUAGUAAUAGUAGUAAUAGUAGUAGUAGUAAUAGUAGUAGUAGUAGUAGUAGUAGUAGUAGUAAUAGUAGUAGUAGUAGUAAUAAUAGUAGUAGUAGUAGUAGUAGUAGUAGUAAUAAUAGUAGUAGUAGUGUCAGUUUGACUAGUAGCGAUUGUGUUAAGGGAAUAUUAACUAUGAACAAUCUAAUCGAGCUAGGUAUUUAUGACAGCAUUUUACAUGCUAUAAUAAUUAACAGUUGUGUUUUUCAAAGUGCAUGUUUGUCGUCUAUUCCUAUUUUAUGUCAAGCAUUGUUUUACAUAUGUAGGUAUAUAUUUUUAAAAGAACCUAUUGCUACAAAUAAGAAUAUAAUUUUAUUACAUACUUUAUAUGAACAGUUAUUUGUUUUAUUUAUUAACAAGAACAUAAUUAGUUUUAAUACAUUUAAUGAC
rnacentral:lncRNA from 1 species